AUUGAACGCUGGCGGCAUGCUUUACACAUGCAAGUCGAACGGUAACAGGCCGCAAGGUGCUGACGAGUGGCGAACGGGUGAGUAAUGCAUCGGAACGUGCCCAGUCGUGGGGGAUAACGCAGCGAAAGCUGCGCUAAUACCGCAUACGAUCUAUGGAUGAAAGCGGGGGACCGUAAGGCCUCGCGCGAUUGGAGCGGCCGAUGUCAGAUUAGGUAGUUGGUGGGGUAAAGGCUCACCAAGCCGACGAUCUGUAGCUGGUCUGAGAGGACGACCAGCCACACUGGGACUGAGACACGGCCCAGACUCCUACGGGAGGCAGCAGUGGGGAAUUUUGGACAAUGGGGGCAACCCUGAUUCAGCAAUGCCGCGUGCAGGAAGAAGGCCUUCGGGUUGUAAACUGCUUUUGUACGGAACGAAACGGCUCUGGUUAAUACCCGGGGCUAAUGACGGUACCGUAAGAAUAAGCACCGGCUAACUACGUGCCAGCCGCCGCAGUAAGAC
rnacentral:rRNA from 1 species